UACGGAGGGGGCAAGCGUUGUUCGGAUUUACUGGGCGUAAAGGGUGUGUAGGCGGUUGCGCAAGUCUGGUGUGAAAUCUUCACCGCUUAACGGGAAGAGGUCACUGGAAACUGCGUAACUCGAGUGUGGUAGAGGCAAGCGGAAUUCCUGGUGUAGCGGUGGAAUGCGCAGAUAUCAGGAGGAACACCAAUAGCGAAGGCAGCUCGCUGGGACGGUAUUGACGCUGAGGCGCGAAAGCGUGGGGAGCAAACAGG
rnacentral:rRNA from 1 species